GACGAACGCUGGCGGCGUGCUUAACACAUGCAAGUCGAGCGGUAAGGCCCUUUCGGGGGUACGACGAGCGGCGAACGGGUGAGUAACACGUGGGUGACCUGCCCUCAGCUCUGGGAUAAGCCUGGGAAACUGGGUCUAAUACUGGAUAUGACUCCACGGUGCAUGUCGUGGGGUGGAAAGCCUUGUGCGGCUGAGGAUGGGCCCGCGGCCUAUCAGCUUGUUGGUGGGGUGANGGCCUACCAAGGCGACGACGGGUAGCCGGCCUGAGAGGGCGACCGGCCACACUGGGACUGAGACACGGCCCAGACUCCUACGGGAGGCAGCAGUGGGGAAUCUUGCGCAAUGGGCGAAAGCCUGACGCAGCGACGCCGCGUGAGGGAUGACGGCCUCGGUUGUAA
rnacentral:rRNA from 1 species